GGGGAUUUAGCUCAGUGGUAGAGCGUUUGCCUAGCAAGUGCAAGGCCCUGGGUUCAGUUCCCAGCUCCG
rnacentral:tRNA from 1 species